UACGUAGGGUGCGAGCGUUAAUCGGAAUUACUGGGCGUAAAGCGUGCGCAGGCGGUUUUGUAAGCCAGAUGUGAAAUCCCCGGGCUUAACCUGGGAAUGGCAUUUGGGACUGCAAGGCUCGAGUGCGGCAGAGGAGACUGGAAUUCCUGGUGUAGCGGUGAAAUGCGCAGAUAUCAGGAGGAACACCGGUGGCGAAGGCGGGUCUCUGGGCCGUAACUGACGCUGAGGAGCGAAAGCAUGGGGAGCGAACAGG
rnacentral:rRNA from 1 species